UUUCAUUUUAAUAUCUGCCAAAAAACACACUGGAGCUGGAAGAAGCACCUUGAUUUUGUCUUUUCCUCCCUUUUCCCCCCACUUUUAAUGCCUCCUGGUGCUUCCUUGUCUCCUUCUUAAUGAUUUUAUAUUAAUAUGUCCCAAAAAUACACACCGGAGCUGGAAGAAGCACCUUGAUUUUGGCUUUUCCUCCCUUUUUUUCCCCGCUUUUACUCCAUUCCGGAGCUUUUCUGACUAUUUCUUGGUCGUUUCAUUUUAAUAUCUGCCAAAAAACACACCAGAGCUUGAAGAAGCACCUUGAUUUUGCCUUUUCCUCCUUUUCCCCCCCCCUUUUAAUCCCGCCUGGUGCUUUCUCAUCUCUUUCUUAAUGAUUUUAUAUUAAUAUGUAAAAAAUACACACUGGAGCUGGAAGAAGCACCUUGAUUUUGGCUUUUCCUCCCUUUUUUUCCCCACUUUUACUCCAUUCCGGAGCUUUUCUGACUGUUUCUUGGUGGUUUGAUUUUAAUAUCUGCCAAAAAACACACCGAAGUUGGAAGAAGCACUUUGAUUUUGGCUUUUCUUCCCUUUUUUUCCCCACUUUCAACCCAUCCUGGUGCUUUCCCAACUCAUUCUUAAUGAUUUUAUUUUAGUAUCUACCAAAAAUACACACCGGAGCUGGAAGAUACACCUUGAUUUUGGCUUUUCUUCCCUUUUCCCCCCACUUUUAAUGCCUCCUGGUGCUUUCUCAUCUCUUCCUUGGUCGUUUCAUUUUAAUAUCUGUUAAAAAACACACCAAAGUUGGAAGAAGCACCUUCAUUUUGGCUUUUCCUCCCUAUUUUUUCCCCGCUUUUACUCCAUUCUGAAGCUUUUCUGACUGUUUCUUGGUGGUUUUAUUUUAAUAUCUGCCAAAAAACCACACUGGAGCUGGAAGAAGCGUCUUGGGGGGGGGGGUUAUUGUGUGUCUCAGACCCGUGUCCCCCCCCCUCAACACCUGGAAUUUUUUUUCCCUUCCAGGAUAGAAAUCCCCUUCAAGUUCCACAUGCUGCACUCGGGGCUGGUCCACGGCCUGGCCUUCUGGUUCGACGUAGCCUUCAUCGGCUCCAUAAUGACGGUGUGGCUCUCCACGGCCCCCACCGAGCCGCUGACCCACUGGUACCAGGUCCGGUGCCUCUUCCAGUCGCCCCUCUUCGCCAAAGCCGGCGACACGCUCUCAGGGACUUGCCUCCUCAUCGCCAACAAGAGGUGGGGGGCACGGGUUUUGGGGGGGGGGUUUCACCCCACG
rnacentral:lncRNA from 1 species